UCCAGCCCCAUAAAGGAGCAUUUCCUGGGGGGCGGAGGGGGGAAGAGAUUUGAGCAAACAUGGGUGAAUGGUUAGGGGCAAAUGACAAUUCAUCCAAGGCUCAUGUUUCAGACCAUAGAAUAUAAUUAUGUUAAACCCCAGAAAAUGCCAUUGCAAGUAAACAUGCCCAUUCACCAUUUAAAGAAUAAACCUGCCUCUUCUGAUGUCACCCUAUGAGAUUACCAAUGAAGAACUUCACAGAAGAAAUGUAGUAUAAGGAAGAAUUUGACUAGAAGAUGGCUAACAGGAUGCAGUAGGAAACUGUUCCAAGCAAAAGAGGUAGCAUGGAAGAAGCAUGAAGAAAAGACUGGAGAGGGGUAUAUGCAGCUAAUAUUCAAUGCCUACAAUAAGUCUUGAUGACUGUAUGUCAUGUUUUAAUAUCACUUUUAUUAUCCCUGAUUUAUUACAAUAAAAAGUGACUUUUUUAAAUAAAUGAAAAAUAGGCAAAUGAGAAUGUGGAGACUUUUCCUAUUUUAAUGGCACUGUUACACAAUGUCUUGGGUCAGGGGGAGAGUUUAUUGUGAGUAAGUUUUUAGUGUAAGAAGAAAGGCUGUGGUGUCGUUGGUUUUCUGAUGUAGCCUCCUUGGGGGAGUUCUGGCAAGCAGCAAGGAUGUUUGUUUUCUGCCUGAAUCUCUAACUAGAGUUAAUCCUUGAAGCACAGUUGCUCCCUGGGAACUGGGCACUGGUUUGGACUGAGGU